rnacentral:lncRNA from 1 species
GAGAGAGAGAGAGAGAGAGAGAGGCAACAUGAAUUACAACAUUGAGACUAUUUCUCUGCUAGUUUCAGGAUGAAACUUAAGCUGAGGUCACAAAAGGUGCUUAUGCUACACAGGAAUCUGUUGUUGUUUGUGUAUUCAGAUGAUCUCAGUCACCACUGUAUUUGGCCAGACUGCUUGCAAGAAACAGGCAUGGGAGGCAGUGCGGU